rnacentral:rRNA from 1 species
GACGAACGCUGGCGGCGUGCUUAACACAUGCAAGUCGAACGAUGAACCCGGAGCUUGCUCCGGUGGAUUAGUGGCGAACGGAUGAGUAACACGUGAGUAACCUGCCCUUGACUCUGGGAUAACUGCGGGAAACUGUAGCUAAUACCGGAUACGACCCUCGGCGGCAUCGCCAGGGGGUGGAAAGAAUUUCGGUCAAGGAUGGACUCGCGGCCUAUCAGCUAGUUGGUGAGGUAACGGCUCACCAAGGCGACGACGGGUAGCCGGCCUGAGAGGGUGACCGGCCACACUGGGACUGAGACACGGCCCAGACUCCUACGGGAGGCAGCAGUGGGGAAUAUUGCACAAUGGGCGCAAGCCUGAUGCAGCAACGCCGCGUGAGGGAUGACGGCCUUCGGGUUGUAAACCUCUUUUAGUAGGGAAGAAGCGAAAGUGACGGUACCUGCAGAAAAAGCACCGGCUAACUACGUGCCAGCAGCCGCUGUAA